rnacentral:rRNA from 1 species
GGUGCGUAACGCGUGGGAAUCUGCCCUUGGGUUCGGAAUAACAGUGAGAAAUUGCUGCUAAUACCGGAUGAUGUCUUCGGACCAAAGAUUUAUUGCCCAGGGAUGAGCCCGCGUAGGAUUAGGUAGUUGGUGGGGUAAUGGCCUACCAAGCCGACGAUCCUUAGCUGGUCUGAGAGGAUGAUCAGCCACACUGGGACUGAGACACGGCCCAGACUCCUACGGGAGGCAGCAGUGGGGAAUAUUGGACAAUGGGCGAAAGCCUGAUCCAGCAAUGCCGCGUGAGUGAUGAAGGCCUUAGGGUUGUAAAGCUCUUUUACCAGGGAUGAUAAUGACAGUACCUGGAGAAUAAGCUCCGGCUAACUCCGUGCCAGCAGCCGCGGUAAUACGGAGGGAGCUAGCGUUGUUCGGAAUUACUGGGCGUAAAGCGCGCGUAGGCGGUUACUCAAGUCAGAGGUGAAAGCCCGGGGCUCAACCCCGGAACUGCCUUUGAAACUAGGUAACUAGAAUCUUGGAGAGGUCAGUGGAAUUCCGAGUGUAGAGGUGAAAUUCGUAGAUAUUCGGAAGAACACCAGUGGCGAAGGCGACUGACUGGACAAGUAUUGACGCUGAGGUGCGAAAGCGUGGGGAGCAA